GAUAUAUGUUCAUUGACUCCACUGAUUUCAAAGCAAAGCAGCAGCUUUUCGAGAGAGAGAUAGAUUCCAUCCCACCAUGAAAGCAGAACAUCCCACCAUGGAAGCAGGACAUCCCACCAUGGAAGCAGGACAUCCUCGUCCCUCCCCAACCCUGCACCCUCUUACCCGACUCUUUUCCCCAUCAGUGAUUCCAGGUUCCCAGUGAUGGGAGAGAUUUGUAUUGACCAAUGGAAUUGGCAGCUCCAAGCGCCCAAUAUUCAGACGCUCCUGCAGCAGUGGCGAAGCGAAUUACUCACCUCGGGAAGGUUUCGGACCUGCGGUAGAGCUUUUCACUGUCGAACAAGGGGCUUU